rnacentral:lncRNA from 1 species
UGAGUAUCAUAUUAGCUGUUGCAGCCACUGAGAUGCUUUAUCAGGUCAAGGAAGUUUUCUUCUUCCCACGUUUACUAUAUAGAACCAGAUUUUCACCUUGGAUCUGUUUUCCUUAUUCCUAAAGUAUGUCCUUCAUUUCUUGUACUGCACAUCUGCUGGUGGUGAAUUCUUUCAGUUUUGUACACUUGGAAAAAUCUUUGUCUUUUUUCUUUUAUUAUUUUUUUUUAAACUAGAGUCUCACUCUGUCACUCAGGCUGGAGUGCAGUGGCCUGAUCUCAGUUCGCUACAACCUCCGCCUCCCAGGGGUUCAAGCAAUUCUCCUGCCUCAGCCUCCCAAGUAGCUGGGAUUACAGGCGUGUGCCACCAUGCCUGGCUAAUUUUUGUAUUUUUAGUAGACAUGGGGUUUCGCCAUGUUGGCCAGGCUGGUCUCAAACUCCCGACCUCAAGUGAUCCGCCUGCUUCAGCCUCCCAAAGUGCUGGGAUUCACUCUACUACACUAAGUUCACUCUAAUACGACGAAUACGGAUGAACUGCUGGUUGGCCUUCGCCUCCUCCAGCACACAGACUGAUUAUUGCUGGCCUGCCUGCGUGGCCCGGAGGGGCUCCUCUUCCUUCUCCCUGCUGCAGCUCUGUUGUGCCCCCUGAGUAUUCUGAGCCCCUUUUCUAGUUCCAGGCCUGCGUCAGUGUAGGGUGACAGGAAGGGUCCUCUGCUGCACUCCACCUCAGGAAAAGCACCAUCUGUGGAGGGAAAUCUGAACUGAGGAGGAAGCCCUGCCCAGCAGCCUGGGGGCUCCCAGGGAUGUCUGCUGCAUGGAGACUGCAGAAACCUGUGGUGGGGCAGAGUUCCAGUUUGGCCGUGUGUUGACUGCCCUCACGCAGACUCUACCAGCGGCCAAGGCGGUGUCUGGAGACGACAGUGUGUGUGCCUAGGGCACACAGGCACGGAGACAUCGCCAGCCCUUUGUGUUGUGAUCAGGGCUGGCGGGAGGCUCUGACUAGGGCUGUGGGAAGGGAACGUGUGCACUGUCCUCUUUCUGAGCGUUGCUGUGGUGGGAGUCCUGUCACGGGGAGCAGUCAUGGAAGAGGACUGGCCCCUCCUCCCAGGUACAAGCACAGGCUCCUGUGCACUCCGACUCGCUGUUCCCCUCAUCUGGCCUCCCCAGAGCCCAGGCACUGCCUGCUAACCCCGGACCUUCUGUGGUCCACUUAGGACUCUUGCCCACCAUUGGUCCUGCCGGCCGGCCCGCCCAGGCUGGGCUUUCUCAUGGGGACUCCAGCUGCCCUUCUGCCCCAUGAGGAGUCACUAGCUCCCUUGGCCUCAUUCCCUUACUGGCAACUGAGGGUCUGGUUCUUAGAGUCCCUUAUGUGUAAACAUGUAAAGCUUGUGGCUGUGAGGUGUGUUUGGUAAGAACAGUCCACAGCUUCCACCAGAUUCUCAGGAGUGUCAGUGGCCCCUUCCCGGUCAAUAAGUUGAAGAGCCGGGGUCAGUCUGGCUGCCACUGAGGGCCAGGCUGCCUCCUUGUGUGCUUGGGUGGCCUGACUGCAAGGAGAUGCUCUCGCUCAGCCCUGGACACACGGUGCAGAUGGUGUGGCGGGUCAGCCCCACAGGGCCACCUCCUCAGUCUUGGGUUCUCAGCCUCAGCUGGUUCACAUUUGGGGCCAGAAGAUUCCUCCUGGUGGGGCCGUGCUGUGUGUUGUAGGAUGGUUAGAGACCUCCAGGCCUCUACCCACCAAAUGCCAGUAGUGCUCCCACCCUUAUCAGUCGUGACAACCAAAAAUGCCUCCAGACAUUGCCUGAUGUCCCCUGCGGGCCCAGUCUUCCGAAGUACAGAGCCACUGAUCUAUCUUAUCUUAGAAAGAGACUGUAGUCAUUGCAUUUCCGUAGGAAAAGGUGUUCUGAGUUAGAAAUAAUGUACAAAUAAUUUUUUGCCUUGUAUCUUCUAUGCAUCUUCUAAUUAUUAUUUUACUAGAUUACAGUCCCUCAUGUGCAAACUUUGCACACCUGGAAGAAGAGUUUACUAGUAAGCAAAAGCACUUUUUUUUUUUUUUUUUUUUNNNNNNNNNNNNNNNNNNNNNNNNNNNNNNNNNNNNNNNNNNNNNNNNNNNNNNNNNNNNNNNNNNNNNNNNNNNNNNNNNNNNNNNNNNNNNNNNNNNNNNNNNNNNNNNNNNNNNNNNNNNNNNNNNNNNNNNNNNNNNNNNNNNNNNNNNNNNNNNNNNNNNNNNNNNNNNNNNNNNNNNNNNNNNNNNNNNNNNNNNNNNNNNNNNNNNNNNNNNNNNNNNNNNNNNNNNNNNNNNNNNNNNNNNNGAUUACAGGUGUGAGCCACCGCGCCCAGCCAGGAAAAGCACUUUUUAAAAAGAUGCCUUUUUUUCCGUGUGGAUAUAAAAAUGCCACAUAGUAAUUAGAGAACAUCUAGAAAGCACAAAAAAGUAUAAAAAGGGAAAAAAUCAUUAUAAUCCACCUAACCCAGAGACCACCACCUGUGGACACAUUUUGAGUCUUUUUAUUACAUCUUUAAAAUUACAUAAUUUUGGAUCUUGAAUUUUUCCAUUUAAAAUCGAACAUAAACAGUGUGUUUAUCAAGCACUCUUUAUAGUGGUUUUGCUGGCAAGCGUCGCUUUGUGCCUGCCUGGCUCGCCACACCUCGUGCUGGAUGUGAGCUUGCACUGUUUUCAUGUAAGCACUGUCUACUGUGUCCCUGAGCAUCAGGCGUUAGGAGAGGCGGCUUCUGUAGUGGGUGGUAUCUUUGCAGCUUUUUGAAUGUUUCCCUUGAAUUUCUAUGAUGGUGAUGAUGGAAAAGACAUCAGGUCUAAGCUGUCCAUAAAAUGCAUUUGUCUGUAAUACAUGUCCUUCAUUAAAAAACACGUGGCAGUUGGGGUCUACUGUCAUGGUAGGAAGGUGGGAGCUGGACUCUCCUCCCAGCCGGGGUCAGGCCACACCUGGAGUGCCUCAGGUCCACUCUGUGCCCGCGUUUCCAGCCUGUCUCUGGAAUGACUACUUCUGAACAGAUUCCCUUUGCCUUUUUCUACCAGGCAGUAUGCACUGAGUCCUUCAGGACAGAUUAAAUGCUGAAAACCGUCAAUCAAGUGUUCAGUCUUCAUGCAGGAUCACAUCCGUGGAACUGAUGUUUUAGCACUGGGGUUGAUAGUGUCCAAGUCCCAGAUUCAGGGGCAGGCUCAGGACCCGUCCACGGUGUUGGCCUAUACUGAGGCCCAUGGGCCUCGGAGCCUGUGUGCCUGGAGCUGGACCAUGGCUCCACCACUUCGUAGCUUGGCCCGAUGUGGGCAAAGGAUUACCUAGGUGCCGAGGCAACAGACUGAAGGCACAAACUGUUUCAGUAUAAUAAAAUAGUUAGAAUAAGAAUAGUCAUAAUACAAGUCAGAUAUAGAGCUGAUCAUGGACAAUUAUCAAUCAUUAGUAUAAACAUUAUUAAUCAUUAGCUUUUAAUAUUACUCUUUGUUGCAUUACUAAUAUAACCUAGGAAUAACCGGCGGGUAUAGGGUCAGGUGCUGAAGGGACAUUGUGAGAAGUGACCUAGAAGGCAAGAGGUGAGCCCUCUGUCAUGCCCACAUAAGGGCCGCUUCAGUGCUCCUUGGUCAAGCGGUAACGCCAGUGUCUGGGAAGGCACCUGUUACUUAGCAGACCGCGGAAGGGAGUCUCCUUUCCUUGGAGGAGUCAGGGAACACUCUGCUCCACCAGCUUCCUGUGGGAGGCUGGAUAUUCUCCAGGCCUGCCCGCAGUCAUCCGGAGGCCUAACCCCUCCCUGUGGUGCUUCAAUGGUCACGCUCCUUGUCCACUUUCAUGCUCCUCCCGCACUCCUGGUUCCUCUUUGGAGUUCGUAGUAGAUAGCAGAAGAAGAAAUAGUGGAAGUCUUAAAGUCUUUGAUCUUUCUUAUAAGUGCAUAGAAGAAAACGCUGACAUUUGCUGCCUUCCCUCUCUGCUUCAGCUACCUAAAAGGGAAGGGUCCCCUGUCCUGUGAUCACGUGACUUGCUUCACCUUGUCAGUCACUUUGAAGAUUCACCCUUCUUACCCUGCCCCCUUGUCCGGUAUGCAAUAAAUAUCAGCGCACCCAGCCGUUCGGGGCCACUACCGGUCUCCGAGUGUUGAUGGUAGUGGUCCCCCGGGCACAGCUGCUUUCUCUUUAUUUUUUUGUCUUGUGUCUUUCUCUCUCACCCAGGCUGUAGCGUAGUGGUGUGAUCUCGGCUCACUGCAAUCUCCACCUCCCGGGUUCAAGCAAUUCUCAUGUCUCAGCCUCCUGAGUAGCUGAGAUUAUAGGUAUGUGCCACCGUGCCUGGCUAAUUUUUAUAUUUUUAGCAGAGAGGGGGUUUUACCAUGUUGGCCAGGCUAGUCUCGAACACCUGACCUCAAGUGAUCCACCCGCCUCAGCCUCCCAAAGUGCUGGGAUUACAGGCGUGAGCCACCGCGCCUGGCUCUUUUUUCCAGUUUCUUACUGUGAAAAAUUUGAAUUAUUGAAAAUGUUGAAAGAGCAGUACAGUGAGUGGUAAACUCACAACAAGAACACGUCCCACAUGACCACAGCCCUCCGGUCACGCUCGUGGGCAUCCACACCUCUCGAGGCAUGUUCCUGCCUGGGUCUGCUUUUCUUUCUCUCCCGACACUGAUGUUCUGAAGGCCAGUUGCUCUGCAGAGGCCACCACAGCCUGGGUGUUCUGUUUCUCGCUGCUGACUUAGGCUGAACAUUUCUGGUCUAGUAGCUGUAACUGUAAGCACCACACUACCAUGCUCAGCUAAUUUUUAAAAUUUUUAGUUGAGAUGGCAUCUCAUUAUGUUGCCCAGGCUGGUCUAGAAAUCCUGGCCUUAAGCAAUUCUCCCACUUCAGCCUCCCAACUAGCUGGGGUUACAGGCGUGAGCCACCAUGCCCAGCUAAAUUUUCAGCUUUUUAUUUAAAAAAAUUAAUGUUGUCCAGCCUGGUUUUUUGUUUGUUUAAGCAUCUUUUCCAGCCUUUUUUGGUAUUUCUGAAACUCAGCCUGCUGCAGCAUUCUGACAGUC